GGGGGGGGGAUAUACCGUGUACCUAUUACUUAAAUAAAACAACCAUCUUUCAAUAAAUGUUUUUUUAGCGCUGGUGAGCGUGUUGAAUGCUCCUUUCUGUCAAACGUACCUAUACAUAAAUCAAGUCAUCGAAACAAGAACACAAAAUUUACUAAAAGAUGAACAAACGAAACAAAAAAUUAAAAUAGAUGUUUCUACAAAGAAAAAAAAAAGAGGUAGUGUGGGAAAAAUCUCAAGCUGCGAAACAAAAUAUAUUACACAUCAAAAA
rnacentral:lncRNA from 1 species